GCAGAGAUUAAGCCUCGUACCUUUCGCAUCAUGAAUUAGCUAGUACUAUCAAGCAAGGAGAACCGUAGCUUGUACACCCGAAACUGAGUGAGCUACUCCAGGACAGCCUAUUUAGGGCAAACCCGUCUCUGUGGCAAAAGAGUGGGGAGAUCUUCGAGUAGAAGUGACAGACUUACCGAACUCAGCUAUAGCUGGUUGCCUGAGAAAUGGAUAUAAGUUCAGCCCCCUGACUUCUUCACUUAUUAGGGGAGUUAUUCAAAGGGGGUACAGCCCGUUUGAAAAAAGACACAACUUUUUAGGGAGGAUAAGGAUACGUGAAGGACUCGUGCCCCCGUGGGCCUGAAGGCAGCCACCCCCGCAGAAAGCGUUAAAGCUCAAGCACAGUAUUCCAACAAACCCGUCCAAAGCCCCAACACCAUAUCAGGCUGCUCUACCUAACCCGUAGAAGAAAUAAUGCUAGUAUGAGUAAUAGGAAAUGAAUUUCUCCCGGCACUCGCGUAAAUCAGAACGGACAACCCACCGAGCAUUAACGGACCCAAGAGAAGAGGGUACUGAAUUGCCACCGGAAAAGCAUUCACCGUUGACCCCACACCGGAGUGCCUAAGGGAAAGACUGAAGGAAAGAGAAGGAACUCGGCAAAAAAGCCUCGCCUGUUUACCAAAAACAUCGCCUCUUGCCUUGUAGUCAAUGAAAUUGAUCUUCUCCGUGCAGAAGCGGGGAUCUAGCCAUAAGACGAGAAGACCCUGUGGAGCUUGAGACACCAGAGCAGCCCACGUCCAAAACCCCAUCAAAGGACCGAACUGAGUGGCAUCUGCCCCAAUGUCUUCGGUUGGGGUGACCAUGGGGAAAGCAAAACCCCCACGCGGACCGGGAGCACUCCUAAAAGCUAGAGCCCCAACUCUAGCUAAACGAAACAUUCGACCUAGACUGAUCCGGCAUAGCCGAUCAACGGACUAAGUUACCCCAGGGAUAACAGCGCUAUCCCCUUCCAGAGCCCAUAUCGCCAAGGGGGUUUACGACCUCGAUGUUGGAUCAGGGCAUCCUAAUGGUGCAA
rnacentral:rRNA from 1 species